ensembl:misc_RNA Metazoa_SRP Metazoan signal recognition particle RNA
GCUGGGCGUGGUGGCGCAUGCUUGUAAUCCCAGCUACUCAGGAGGCUGAGGCAAGAGAAUUGCUUGAACCUGGGAGGCAGGGGUUGCAGUCAGCUGAGAAUGUGCCACUGCACUCCAGCCUGGGUGACAGAGCAAGACCCUGUCUCAA